rnacentral:rRNA from 1 species
UACAGAGGGUGCGAACGUUGUUCGGAAUUACUGGGCGUAAAGGGCGCGUAGGCUGUGCUGUAAGUCAGGCGUGAAAGCCCCGGGCUCAACCUGGGAAUUGCGCUUGAUACUGCGGCGCUGGAAGGUGGGAGAGGAUGGCGGAAUUCCCAGUGUAGAGGUGAAAUUCGUAGAUAUUGGGAAGAACACCGGUGGCGAAGGCGGCCAUCUGGCCCAUUUUUGACGCUGAGGCGCGAAAGCGUGGGGAGCAAACAGG